rnacentral:snoRNA from 1 species
UGGAUCGAUGAUGACUAUAAAAAAAAUGGAUCUCAUCGGAAUCUGAACAAAAUGAGUGACCAAAUCAUUUCUGUGCCACUUCUGUGAGCUGAGGUCCAGCACUGGGACCAUGCCAGGCAAACAUGAGGAGGGAGUUUACAGGGACUAGGGUAUUGGAAAACUAACCUACCCAUAUAUAUUAGAGCAAAUGAAUUGUUCUCAGUUCUGUAAAUAUCCAGCUGUGGUUUGACAUAGCAACUCUCUUUGUAUUUGCUUGGCAGCAUUUAUAGAAACAGCUGGUAGACCCUGGGGAACCAGGGCAUAGUGAGAUUCAUGGGACGUUAUUUCACCUACUCUUGAGCCAUUCACACAUUUGAGCUCGCAGAAUUAUCUGGUCAAUGAGCAGUCUCUUGAGGGUAAUGAGAUGGUCAACAUCCAAAUCCAAAGAUACUAAUGAGAUUUUACUUUUUUUUUUGAGAUGGAGUCUCAUUCUGUUGCCCAGGCUGGAGUGCAGUGGCAUAAUCUCGGCUCACUGCAACCUCCACCUCCUGGGUUCAAGAGAUUCUCCCGCCCCAGCAUCCUGAGUAGCUGGGAUUACAGGCGCCCGCCACCACCCCUGGCUAAUUUUUGUGUUUGUAGUAGAGAUGGAGUUUCACCAUAUUGGCCAAGCUGGUCUCGAACUCCCAACCUCAGGUGAUCCAGCCACUGCAGCCUCUCAAAGUGUUGGGAUUACAGGCAUGAGCCGCCGUGCCCGGCCUUACUUUUUAUUUUCAAUUAAGUGAAACAAUUACAUGGAAAUUGAAAAAAAAAAAAGGUACUCUAAGUAGACUACUCUAGUGUAUUUUAAUUUUCUUGCCAAUUCAGCCACUAGGAUUGUGUCACUUGUUUUUUUGAUUUUAGUUUUUCGUAUCAAAAAGCAAACCACUGUUUAUAUUUGAGUGCUGGUUUCAACUGUAUGCUGCCUCAAAUAAACUUAGAUUAUAUUACAAAUUCUUUUUUACAUAGAUUUCAUUGGCUAUAUUCAUAUAUCCUCAAAGGUUUCCAUUGUGUUUGAAGAGGUAUCCUAAUUGUAAUAAAUGCUUUUGAUUGGGGAUGCCAGGGAAGCUUUGAGACUAAUGUCUCAGAUUUUUUUUAAAAAAGUUUAUAUUCUAUAGUGAUCAAAGAUGUAAGAAUAAUUUUUCUUGUCAUUCAUUGGAUAGUCCAGUGAGUGUCUACUGUGAAUUCUUAUAUUCACUUGUAACUAAACAUUCCAUUUGGCAAAUUUCGUUUCAUAACUUCCCUAAUUUCCUCUACACUUUGUAGAUUGGGUGAGAUACAAUUCCAUGGAAUUUUACCACUGAACCAGUGGAGGGCUAAUUUUGUCAUUUGUACCAGUUAACUAACUUGGGAGGAAACAGAACAACACACUCCUGAGGUAGUAUCCAAUUUUUAGUAAAUUUAUUUUUAUUAUUUUUCAAACUGUCAGUGAUUUGGUUUGGUGAACAAUAGGUUAAUACAGACAAUGUUAGGAAUUAUUAAUCUGAUGCGCUAUCUGAAGCAUCAGUUUCCUUUAUUUUUAAGAUUUUUUUCUUCUCUGUAGUUUGGAUAAUAUUUAAAACAUUUCCAAGAGUUAUAAAUUAGUAUAUUUUCUAUGCUGAUUAAUAAUGAAACCUUUUGUCUUAUACAGAUUUUUAAAAAAUGGACGUGUGCGUGCAUGUGUAUAUAUAUAAAUAUAUAUAUAUAUAAAAUCUCUUCUCACAAGAUGAUGCAGACUAAAACUGCAUUUUACAUUUUAUAUGGCUAAGUUUAUUGUUUCCUUGUGUUGUAAUAUGAUGGAAAGUAAUGGGAAUAAUUCUGCUUCCUGUCCUUAGGGACCAGUAGGAAUUUUCCCAUGAUAAGCAUUUUGUCCUUAAAAUACUGACAUCCUGUUAAGAGAUCAUGACACUCCAAUGACCAUGAGACCCUGGCUAUGCUAGUCAGCCAGGGGGCUGACCAUUGACAGUGAUGCUGGUCUCCAUGAUUAAAUAGUGUGGGUCAGCAUGUCCCAGGGUGACAGAAAGCUGUGUGAUCAGUGUCUGUCACAUAUCUCAGACUCAGGGUUCCUUUUUAAAAUGUGCCUGGAUCGAUGAUGACUUAAAGAUUUAUCUAAUUUAAAUCUGAACAAAAUGAGUGACCAAAACACUUCUGUACCACUUCUGUGAGCUGAGGUCCA